GACGAACGCUGGCGGCGUGCCUAAUACAUGCAAGUCGAACGAGAGCGACCGGUGCUUGCACUGGUCAAUCUAGUGGCGAACGGGUGAGUAACACGUGGGUAACCUGCCCAUCAGAGGGGGAUAACAUCCGGAAACGGAUGCUAACACCGCAUAGGUCUUCGAACCGCAUGGUUUGAAGAGGAAAAGAGGCGCAAGCUUCUGCUGAUGGAUGGACCCGCGGUGCAUUAGCUAGUUGGUGAGGUAACGGCUCACCAAGGCCGUGAUGCAUAGCCGACCUGAGAGGGUGAUCGGCCAAAUUGGGACUGAGACACGGCCCAAACUCCUACGGGAGGCAGCAGUAGGGAAUCUUCAGCAAUGGACGCAAGUCUGACGGAGCAACGCCGCGUGAGUGAAGAAGGUUUUCGGAUCGUAAAACUCUGUUGUUAGAGAAGAACAAGUGCUAGAGUAACUGUUAGCGCCUUGACGGUAUCUAAACAGAAAGCCACGGCUAACUACGUG
rnacentral:rRNA from 1 species